AACUGUCAGCACAGAGCUUGACGCGGGGCUUGAACUCAUGAAUCGCGAGAUCGCGACCUGAGCCAAAGUCGGAUGUUCAAUGGACUGAGCCAUCCAGGCAUCCCAAAAUAGUUCACUUCUUAAUAUAUUUCUAUUCUUACGAAAAGUAACUUACUACAAGAUAGUAGUAAAUAUAUUUCAGAAUCUUAUAGUCAAAAUUUCAAAAUGAUCUCCAUAGUAAUAUUUUAUCUAUCAGCUGGUAACUUAGCUUACAGGUACCAGCAUAAUUUGGCAUUUACCAGGGAAAUUACUUGCUCUGUCGACACACCAGACUUAAAACUUAAUUUUAGUGAAAUGUGAAAUCUUGCUAACUGCUAACAAAUAAGAAAGCCCAAUAUUUCCUUUAUAAUGGUAAUCACUGAUCAUGUUCUUCUUACAAAAAUAUAUGUCAGACACAUACAUACAGUAAGUACUAAUGUAAAUUUUUCAAGGAAGGAAGGGCUGUACUUUUCCUUAGCUAUUAAUAUAUCUUUGCAUUCACAAAACACAUAUGAAGACACAUAUACUAUGAAAAUACUUGUCAUAUUGAGCAUGAAGUACAAAAAGUAAUGGCUGUGAUUAAAGAAAUAAUAUCCACUAACUUCUGGAGUUGUUAUGAUAUUCAAGAGAGAUAAUGAGCAUGAAAAUCCCAUGGAAAGUGUAGGAUGCUCUUAUUAAAAAUAUCAUUAUCCUAGUAGCAGUAUUUUUAUCUCAUCUUAGAAAAGAGAUGUGUCCUUCAGUGUUAUCUCACAGAAGUAAAGGAUUCUUACAAAUAAAGCUUACUCUAAGUUAGCUAGGUUUGAGUGUUACACAGUAGUAAAUAGUUAUGAUUUCAAUGAAAGAAAUAUUUGACUAAACAUUUUUCAAGAAAACAUAAUGAUCUCAAAAAAAAACGUUACCUGAACAUUCUCUCAAGCUAUUUUAUAUAACAUAUGUCAUUUAGUACAUACAAUAUCAAUACAUAAAUUUAGUUCCAUUGAAAAUUAAAGUAUGCACACUAUGUCAGUUCAGUGAUCAAGAUUAAUAUCAAGAGUGAUAUGCCAUGUAUCUGUAGCAUGUAAUGUAGAUAUGAUUUGCUAAGGUUAGCUUAUUAUCUCUGUGGUCUUCUUCCCCAAACUAACAACCCCAGUCAACUGAUGACGAAAACAUCAGAAAGUUCCCAGCUGAAGGACAUUCUACCCUGCCUUCCCAGUACUCCUCAAAACUACCAAAACCAAGGAAUGUCUGAGAAACUUAUAACCUAAGAAGAUAUGGCAAAAUGUAACGUAGUAUCCUUCAUGGGAUCCUGCAAUAGAAAAAAGACAUUAGGAAUGAUUCAGGGAAGUGAGAACCUAACACCUCAUACAAAGUGAGCAUGAAAUUGUUAAACUACAAAUCCGGUUGACCAGAAAAGCUUCAUCCCUGGAAUAGAGAGAUCCCCAUGGAAGAGAAAAUGCCAAUGAGGCACAAGUUUAAAAUGGCAUGAGGGGGGCGCCUUGGUGGCUCAGUCAGCCUUCUGAGUCUCUACAGAAGAGGAAAUUAAGGGAGACAAACUGAACUGUGAUGCUCGGGGACUCCCUUGAUUCCGCCUGUCACCGUUAUAAGCCAGCUCAAGGCCUCGGGGGAGUCUGCCUGCUCUAGCCUUCCUCAGCCAGCCAGACGGUGACGGCCCACUGCUUUUAUUCAUUACCCUGAGUGUAAUGCACUAAAUUUAACAAGUAACACACUCGGCGGGAAUUUAUUGGCCUCUUGCAGCAUGAUUGCAAGUUAGGAUAUGGAUAUGGAUCCCAAUUACUGGUGACACCAAGGUAAGAUGAACAAAGCCUGUAUAUAAUUAUUAAUCAAAGCUGAUAUUGUAAGGAAAUGAAAAUAAAUAAAUAAAUAGCUCCAUACUAUUUGAAGCAAAUGUUCCCAGGUUGAAAGAACUCUCCCUGGUUACACAAUAGUAGUAUUCCAAUUAAAUAUAAUAGCAAUAAUAAAAUAGCAACAUAGUGGCAAAGUGAUCCUAUAAAGCAACAAUUUUCACAUAAAAAUAGUUGUGUGGAGCAGAGAUACAGUAGAGAAAAGGUUAACAAAGUCCAAACGUAGACUUGUAAUAUGUAAAUGAGUGGCAAGUAAAUGGCCAUCUUUAAGGAUUUAAUAUUUUAGUUAAAUAAAAUAAUACAUUUAACAUUGUUAUUCCAGAUGAUAGUUACAUACAGCUAGCUCUAUUAAAAUAGGGUAGGAGAAAUGAUUGUAAAGAUGUAGGUGUCACGCUCUCAUGUCUAUAGCACAGGAGUUACCUGACUGUGAAAAUUAAAUAUUGUUGGUGUAUAGAUAAUUUGUGAUGAAUCUCAAAGUCCUUGCGUUGCAAUAAGAAAAUGAGAAAAGGAGCUAGAAUUUUCACUCACUUUGGGCAAGGGUUUGUUGUGGUCAUCGCUUGUUUCAUUUAUAAAGGCCAUAGUAACACAAUAACUGUAAAGGCAUAGGAAAGAGAGGACAUGAUUUUAUUUUACCAGACUGUAUAUGAAUAAAAAGUGUUGAAAAAUAUAAGGAAUAUGAAAACAAAGGGAACAUCACCUUCCCCAUGAUUAACCCAAAUGGCCAACUUAUUAUUGAAAUAAGAGGCAACAUGCAUCACUGGCAAAGGCUUGAACUCCCACAUUACAAAGAAUCAUAUCCUGGCUUUAAUAAUUACUAGUACUCUGACCUUGAGUCGCUAAUUUAAUCUCUCUUAGCCUGUUUCCUCAAGUGUAAGAUAGGGAUGAUUAUAGUAGCUACCUGUGUAGUUAUAUUGAUAAUACAGCAUUAUAUACUUCAAAGUUGCUAAGAAACCAGAUUGAAUGUUCUCACCACAAAAAAGAAAUGAUAAUUAUGGGACAUGAUGGUGGUGUUAGCUAAUGCUAUGGUGGUAAUAAUACUGCAAUUUACAAAUGUAUCAAAUCAACAUGUUAUACACUUUAAACUGACACAAUGUUAUAUAUCAAUUAUAUCGCAAAAUAGUUCUGGCAAAUCAAUACAGUUCUGAGCACAGAGUAAAAAUUCAAUAAAUAUUAGCAAAUUUUUUGUUAUUUAGUAUUAUUUUAACCUACUUGGUAUUAAAAAUCACUAAACCAGGAAACAAAUGGCAUCGCAAUCUUUUACACCCAGAUAUGCUUCAGUACAAGUUUGAGCUCAAAUACUUUUCAAUGGAAAGAAGGCGUAUUUUAUUUCACUGGUUAGUUUGGAGUUGAAAGUCAUAAUCUUAUGGCAAAGUCUUGUCAUGUAACUGUCUGGUUAAACAAAGUGCAUUUCUGGUACUCAGCAUGCUAAAGUAUAGCAGUGGCCUAAUGCCUGUGAGGGUGUGUGGUAAAAUUGAAGAAAACAUGUGAAACUCAGCACAUCCCGUACAUCCUGGUACCAUCCAAAAAUGGAGAUAUUUUUUACUUAGCAUCUGUAUCUGGACACUUGUAUUUAGUUAUCAUUGCAAUUCCACUUAGAAUUCAUCAACAUCCCCAUUACUUAGGAAAUGAAAUGAAGGAUGAAACCUUAAUUGGUCUUUUCAAGACCGUAGAAUUAAUGGCAAGAGCCUCACUCACCUUAGGUCAAAGUGACCCUAAGUCAGUGUUCUUUCUACUAUAGUAACCUCACUUUGUAGGUGAGAAGAUAAAGGUCAAUCACUGACAAAAUAUAUUUGGGUGUGUGUUUGAAACAGGCAUGUGCUGUUGGUAGUUGGUACACAGUUUUAAAACACAGUGGGUAAAUUAAAAUCAUCUAUGCUAUGCCACGGUUUUCUGUGACUUUCCUAAGAAUGUCAUGGAGCUUACUAUUUAAGGACUAGGUAUACUGAGAAAAAGGUAGCUGCAGAGGCAUUAAAAAGUACUUUUACCUUAAUGUCACCUACUGACUGAGGGAUUGGUCUUCAUAGGGCCCAUAAUCCAAAGGAAGCAGUUAAGUAACAUGAGUUGUAUCAUAACAAUUACAUGAUUGCUUGAACUGAAUAACUGAACUAAAACUGUCACAGAGUACUUUCUCUCUAUAUAUAUACACAUAUAUAUUUUAGUACUAUUACUAUUGAAUUCAAUCACUUUUCCAGAACAAUUUUUACUCCACAAUAGAUUGGAUCCACAUGUACAAGUUGUUCAUAGAACUUGCAGAUAGAAACCUAGUCUUCUAAAUCAGAGAAACAUGAAUAAUAUUGAUUUUGAAAAUUAAGGAAGAAGAAAUUAAGUUAAAUAAUUAAAGUAAAUCAUGCUUCCAUUGAAUGCUUACAUUGAAUGAAAUUUUUCAACUGA